GACGAACCGUGCGAACGUUGUUCGGAAUCACUGGGCUUAAAGGGCGCGUAGGCGGACGACCAAGUCGGGGGUGAAAUCUUUCGGCUCAACCGGAAAAUAGCCUUCGAUACUGGUCGUCUAGAGGGAGGUAGGGGCGUGUGGAACUUCCGGUGGAGCGGUGAAAUGCGUUGAUAUCGGAAGGAACUCCGGUGGCGAAAGCGACACGCUGGAUCUCAUCUGACGCUGAGGCGCGAAAGCCAGGGGAGCAAACGGG
rnacentral:rRNA from 1 species